UACGAAGGUCCCGAGCGUUGUUCGGAAUCACUGGGCGUAAAGGGAGCGUAGGCGGCGUGGUAAGUCAGACGUGAAAUCCCGGGGCUCAACCCCGGAACUGCGUCCGAUACUGCCGUGCUAGAGGAUUGGAGAGGUAGCUGGAAUUCACGGUGUAGCAGUGAAAUGCGUGGAUAUCGUGAGGAACACUCGUGGCGAAAGCGAGCUACUGGACAACUCCUGACGCUGAGGCUCGAAGGCCAGGGUAGCGAAAGGG
rnacentral:rRNA from 1 species